UCUAUGGGUGGUGGUGCAUGGCC
rnacentral:ncRNA from 2 species